CCACGUUGAUCCUGCCAGUAGUCAUAUGCUUGUCUCAAAGAUUAAGCCAUGCAUGUCUCAGUANANGCAACNNNNUANNGUGAAACNGCGAAUGGCUCAUUAAAUCAGUUAUGGUUCAUUAGAUCGUGGACACAUUUACUUGGAUAACUGUGGUAAUUCUAGAGCUAAUACAUGCAAACAGAAUUCCUCUCAGAGAUGGGAGGAAUGCUUUUAUUAGAUCAAAACCAAUCGGUGGCGGACGGCUCGUCCGUUCGUCCAUCGUUUGUUUUGGUGACUCUGAAUAACUUUGUGCUGAUCGCAUGGUCAUCUAGCACCGGCGACGCAUCUUUCAAAUGUCUGCCUUAUCAACUGUCGAUGGUAGGUUCUGCGCCUACCAUGGUUGUAACGGGUAACGGGGAAUCAGGGUUCGAUUCCGGAGAGGGAGCCUGAGAAACNGCUACCACAUCCAAGGAAGGCAGCAGGCGCGCAAAUUACCCACUCCCGGCACGGGGAGGUAGUGACGAAAAAUAACGAUACGGGACUCAUCCGAGGCCCCGUAAUCGGAAUGAGUACACUUUAAAUCCUUUAACGAGGACCAAUUGGAGGGCAAGUCUGGUGCCAGCAGCCGCGGUAAUUCCAGCUCCAAUAGCGUAUAUUAAAGUUGUUGCNGUUAAAAAGCUCGUAGUUGAAUCUGUGUAUCACAGUGUCGGUUCACCGCUCGCGGUGUUUAACUGGCAUUAUGUGGUACGUCCUAUCGGUGGGCUUAGCUCCUUGCGGGCGGUCCAACUAAUAUCCCAUCGCGGUGCUCUUCACUGAGUGUCGAGGUGGGCCGAUACGUUUACUUUGAAAAAAUUAGAGUGCUUAAAGCAGGCUACCUUUGCCUGAAUACUGUGUGCAUGGAAUAAUGGAAUAGGACCUCGGUUCUAUUUUGUUGGUUUUCGGAACCCCGAGGUAAUGAUUAAUAGGGACAGAUGGGGGCAUUCGUAUUGCGACGUUAGAGGUGAAAUUCUUGGAUCGUCGCAAGACGGACAGAAGCGAAAGCAUUUGCCAAAAAUGUUUUCAUUAAUCAAGAACGAAAGUUAGAGGUUCGAAGGCGAUCAGAUACCGCCCUAGUUCUAACCAUAAACGAUGCCAGCCAGCGAUCCGCCGAAGUUCCUCCGAUGACUCGGCGGGCAGCUUCCGGGAAACCAAAGCUUUUGGGUUCCGGGGGAAGUAUGGUUGCAAAGCUGAAACUUAAAGGAAUUGACGGAAGGGCACCACCAGGAGUGGAGCCUGCGGCUUAAUUUGACUCAACANGGGAAAAAUCCCCCGGGCCGGACAGGGACAGGAUUGACAGAUUGAUAGCUGUUUCUCUGUUGAGUGGAGGUCGCUAGAUGG
rnacentral:rRNA from 1 species